AUUGAACGCUGGCGGCAGGCUUAACACAUGCAAGUCGAGCGGGGUGAUGGUGCUUGCACUAUCACUUAGCGGCGGACGGGUGAGUAAUGCCUAGGAAUCUGCCUAUCAGUGGGGGACAACAUCUCGAAAGGGAUGCUAAUACCGCAUACGUCCUACGGGAGAAAGCAGGGGAUCACUUGUGACCUUGCGCUAAUAGAUGAGCCUAAGUCGGAUUAGCUAGUUGGUGGGGUAAAGGCCUACCAAGGCGACGAUCUGUAGCGGGUCUGAGAGGAUGAUCCGCCACACUGGGACUGAGACACGGCCCAGACUCCUACGGGAGGCAGCAGUGGGGAAUAUUGGACAAUGGGGGGAACCCUGAUCCAGCCAUGCCGCGUGUGUGAAGAAGGCCUUAUGGUUGUAAAGCACUUUAAGCGAGGAGGAGGCUUACCUAGUUAAUACCUGGGAUAAGUGGACGUUACUCGCAGAAUAAGCACCGGCUAACUCUGUGCCAGCCGCCGCGGUAAAAC
rnacentral:rRNA from 1 species